UACAGAGGGUGCGAGCGUUAAUCGGAAUUACUGGGCGUAAAGCGUGCGUAGACGGUUAUUUAAGUCGGAUGUGAAAGCCCCUGGCUCAACUGGGGAAGUGCACCCGAAACUGAGUAGCUUGAGUGCAAAAGAGGGCCGCGGAAUUCCCGGUGUAGAGGUGAAAUUCGUAGAUAUCGGGAGGAACACCGGUGGCGAAGGCGGCGGCCUGGGUUGACACUGACGCUGAGGCGCGAAAGCGUGGGGAGCAAACAGG
rnacentral:rRNA from 1 species